UCCCUGGUGGUCUAGUGGUUAGGACUCAGUGCUUUCACAGCUAUGGCCUGGGUUCAAUUCCUGGCCUGGGAA
rfam:Sus scrofa chromosome 2.